UCUGGGCAGCUGGCUCGGAGUAGGUCUGCUGGACAGCUGGGACGGAGUAGGUCUGCUGGUAGGCUGGGGCGGAGUAGGUCUGCUGGACAGCUGGGACGGAGUAGG